rnacentral:antisense_RNA from 1 species
CACGACGUGGUGAACUUUUAAAAACGGAUUCAGUAGUACCAAAAUACUCAUAAUGUGCAGACAGACCUAAGAACUGGAAGGAGUCAUGUUUUCAGACACAGGAAGCUUUUCACGUGCUCCGCCUGGACCUCAUCUCUCAGCCUCACACUCCGAUCUUCAGCAGCCCCCGCUAUGCGCCCGAGUCUUGGGACGUCAUCGCGGAGCCCCUAGCCUGCCCGGGAGGCAGAGCCAUCAGUUGUCUAUCUUUUAGAUUCUCCUCUUGGCCCCUUAUCCGAACUAAACACAUCACCACUGAGGACCUGUCCAGGGGUUUAGCUCCUGAUGAAGAGACAGAGAAAAGGUCAGAGAAAGGAAGGGUGACGCUCCAUCCAAGAUGACUACAGCGCUAUGAUUUCCAGAUGGGGAAGGUCACGGAUGCUGGACGCAACAGAAUCUCAACAGGGACCCGAGAGAGAGAGGCUCCUCUCUCCCUACACUAAUAUCCCACGAUCCCUGUGUCACUUUCCAGAACACACUGUCAGUUCCAUGGACCUAGGAUUAUAAAAUCCUGUAAGAUUUAUACAGAAAAUAUAAAAAUCUGGGGAGGGGGAACUGUGAAACAAUGUGAAAAAAACUAUUUGUCAAAUGGACAGUGGGGAAUAACUUCUCCCGCACCUCCUCCAAGCUUCUAACAACACUCAUGGCACACGAUACAGAGGAGACUGCCAUAAAAAUGACUUAAAAUGUGCCUUUUUGAGGUAAAGUAACUAUGGGACAAGUGACUAUAAAAAUGACACAGCUG